rnacentral:rRNA from 1 species
AACGAACGCUGGCGGCGCGUCUUAAACAUGCAAGUCGAACGGCAGGAAGGGGCUUGCCCCUUCUGAGAGUGGCGGACUGGUGAGUAACACGUGGGUGACAUACCUUUUAGUUGGGGAUAGCUAUUAGAAAUAGUAGGUAAUACCGAAUGUGACCGUACCUGUUAGAGGGGUACGAGGAAAGGAGCUAAGGCUUCGCUAAAAGAAUGGCUCGCGGCCCAUUAUGCUCGUUGGUGAGGUAACGGCCCACCAAGGCGAUGAUGGGUAUCCGGCCUGAGAGGGUGAACGGACACAUUGGGACUGAGAUACGACCCAGACUUCUACGGGAGGCAGCAGUUAAGAAUAUUCCGCAAAGGACGAAAGUCUGACGGAGCGACGCCGCGUGGAUGAAGAAUGCCGAAAGGUUGUAAAAUCCUUUUAAGCCUGAUGAAUAAGCACAGUAGGGAAUGAUUGUGCGGUGACCGUAGGGCUUGAAUAAGCACCGGCUAAUUACGUG